rnacentral:rRNA from 1 species
GAUGAACGCUGGCGGCGUGCCUAACACAUGCAAGUCGAACGGAGUCCCGCCUUUAAGACCUUCUGGUCAAAGACGGGAAGCCUGAGUGGCGGACGGGUGAGUAACACGUGGUCAACCUGGCUCAUAGAGUGGGAUAACAGAGAGAAAUUUCUGCUAAUACCGCAUAAGCACACCCUGCCGCAUUGCAGAGUUUGAAAAGAGAAUCUCUCUGUGAUGGACCCGCUUCUGAUAGUCCAGUUGGCACGGUAAGAGCCUACUAAAGCGACGAUCAGUACCCGAUCAGAGAGAAUCGACGGCCACAUUGGGACUGAGACACGGCGGAAAAUCCUACGGGAGGGAGCAGUGGGGGAUAUAGCACAAUGGGGGGAACCCUGAUGCAGCGACGCCUGUUGAGUGAAGAAGUAUUUCGGUAUGUAAAGCUCUAUAAGCAGGGAAGAUAAUGACAGUACCUGAAGAAGAAGCCCCGGCUAACUACGUG